GGAAUCUUGCGCAAUGGGCGAAAGCCUGACGCAGCAACGCCGCGUGCGGGAUGAAGGCCUUCGGGUUGUAAACCGCUUUUACCAGGAAGGAAAAUGACAGUACCUGGAGAAUAAGGUGCGGCCAACUACGUGCCAGCAGCCGCGGUGACACGUAAGCACCAAGCGUUGUCCGGAUUUAUUGGGCGUAAAGAGCUCGUAGGCGGUUCAGUAAGUCGGGUGUGAAAACUCUGGGCUCAACUCAGAGACGCCACCCGAUACUGCUGUGACUUGAGUCCGGUAGGGGAGUGGGGAAUUCCUGGUGUAGCGGUGAAAUGCGCAGAUAUCAGGAGGAACACCAAUGGCGAAGGCACCACUCUGGGCCGAGACUGACGCUGAGGAGCGAAAGCGUGGGUAGCAAACAGGAUUAGAUACCCUGGUAGUCCACGCCGUAAACGGUGGGCACUAGGUGUGGGUUCCAACCAACGGAAUCCGCGCCGGCGCUAACGCAUUAAGUGCCCCGCCUGGGGAGUACGGCCGCAAGGUUAAAACUCAAAUGAAUUGACGG
rnacentral:rRNA from 1 species